rnacentral:rRNA from 1 species
AGUGAGCGCUGGCGGUAUGCCUAACACAUGCAAGUCGAACGGCAGCACAGUAAGAGCUUGCUCUUACGGGUGGCGAGUGGCGGACGGGUGAGGAAUACAUCGGAAUCUACUUUUUCGUGGGGGAUAACGUAGGGAAACUUACGCUAAUACCGCAUACGACCUACGGGUGAAAGCAGGGGAUCUUCUGACCUUGCGCGAUUGAAUGAGCCGAUGUCGGAUUAGCUAGUUGGCGGGGUAAAGGCCCACCAAGGCGACGAUCCGUAGCUGGUCUGAGAGGAUGAACAGCCACACUGGAAGUGAGACACGGCACAGACUCCUACGGGAGGCAGCAGUGGGGAAUAUUGGACAAUGGGGGAAAGCCUGAUCCAGCCAUACCGCGUGGGUGAAGAAGGCCUUCGGGUUGUAAAGCCCUUUUGUUGGGAAAGAAAAGCAGCAGGUUAAUACCCCGCUGUUCUGACGGUACCCAAAGAAUAAGCACCGGCUAACUUCGUG